UACAGAGGGUGCAAGCGUUAAUCGGAAUUACUGGGCGUAAAGCGUGCGUAGUCGGUUAUCUAAGUCAGGUGUGAAAUCCCCGGGCUCAACCUGGGAAUUGCAUUUGAUACUGGAUAGCUAGAGUUCGGCAGAGGGAAGUGGAAUUUCUGGUGUAGCGGUGAAAUGCGUAGAUAUCAGAAGGAACAUCAGUGGCGAAAGCGACUUCCUGGACCAGAACUGACGAUCGGGCACGAAAGCGUGGGGAGCAAACAGG
rnacentral:rRNA from 1 species